UACGAAGGGGGCUAGCGUUGUUCGGAAUUACUGGGCGUAAAGCGCGCGCAGGCGGUUUCUCAGGUCAGUGGUGAAAGCCCGGAGCUCAACUCCGGAACUGCCAUUGAAACUGUGAAACUUGAGGACGAGAGAGGUGAGUGGAAUUCCCAGUGUAGAGGUGAAAUUCGUAGAUAUUGGGAAGAACACCGGUGGCGAAGGCGGCUCACUGGCCCGUAACUGACGCUCAUGCACGACAGCGUGGGGAUCAAACAGG
rnacentral:rRNA from 1 species